GUGUUCGAGAUGUCACGUAUAAUACGGAAUUACGUUUAAAAGGUCACGCUUGACGUAGGCGGAAGUACGAGUCGGUGUUUACAGAUUGAACGUGCAAAUACUAAGUCAAAAGCCGUCUACAAAAAAGGUAAAACAACAAUGUCGGACGAUUUUGAACUUCGAGGAGAAGAUGAGUUUUUCGCCCUGCCCUAGCUUUUUGAACCGAAAUACACAGAAGAAGAGACUGCUGCGGGGACACACACCUCUCAAGCAUCGGGCAGACGAAGAUCUAACGAGACGUGGUGGUGCACAUGUGGCAAAUGCCAACCAUUGUCAACAGAGGAAGAAUCUGAAUGCUGCCACGACUGGACCAUUUCAAUCCCGCCAUUAGAAUCAGUCGGACAAGCGGUGAGAGGGUCAGAGAGUUGGCAAACUCCCAUGUUAGCCAGACGCUCUAUUCUCCAACUGUUUGCCAUUUCAAGGUCCUUUUUGCAUUUUUGCUGAAAGGACUCCAGCAUGGCUGAGACUUAAUGGAUGGCCCGACAAAUACAAAUUUCUGCAUACCAACUGUCACUUUUUAAUUUUUUUCUGUUUGUCUUUGUGCGCCGAACACACAUUGUGUAAAAUGUUUUUUAUGAGUGGAUUUAAAUAAAUUUAAAACACUGUUAAGUCAAAAAUACCAGG